UUUUAAUAUCCCGCCCCCUCUUCCUUUUACUUUCUACACCAAUUAGCUCUUCCUCCCAUUAUCUCUUUCUCAAUCCAUCCUUUGCCCUAAUUCUCUCUUUCUCAACUGGUUUUCUCUCUUUCUAAGCCUAAAGAAGGCAGCUUCGCACACAUGAUUGAUCAAGCUCUGGCCAACGAGUUCCCCGAGAGCGAUCAACCCGAAGGCAGUUCUGGAAACUGUAGCCAGGGUUAAGUCAAAGAAAAAUGACACAAAAGAGAAAAAGACAAUGUCUUUAUUAUAUCUAUUUCAAAUCAAAAUAUCCAGUUCUGCAGCUAGACUUAAGACAUUUAUAUGCUGUCAAGCUGUGCGUGCUUUGGAGUACCCACUGAACAAGGAUCUAAUGAUAGCCAUUUCCUGACUUCUGCUACUUUCUUGAGCUUUAAAGGUGCUCAUGGAGAUUAAGGACAAGGAAAAAAAUAUCAAAGAUGGAUGAUUAUGAAGUGAUAGAGCAGAUAGGCAGAGGAACAUUCGGAGCUGCAUUUCUCGUUCUUCACAAAUUUGAGAGGAAGAAGUAUGUAUUAAAGAAGAUUUGAUUGUCUAAACAAACAGAGAAAUUCAAGCGUGCGGCACAUCAAGAGGUUAUCCUUCUGAAUACUCUGUAUGCCAGUUUAAAUUUUUGGCAGUGCAGAAUGAAAUUUUGGUUUUUGGCAAUAGUGUUUCUAUUCUUUUAAUAUAUUCACGUAUAAGCUGUUUCAACAUAU